UAUCAGCCAAGCAUGCCAUAUCUCUCACCCCAAGUGCUCACCUCUCUGGCUGUACGAUUAUCCCACAUUGUAGGCUCAGUCACCUGUUCUUCUUCUGGGCCAGGGGCCAAAAUUAAUAUAUUUCCAAGCCCCAGCCCAUUUACUCAUGGUGAACUCUGAACCAGGGAGGACACAUGGACCCAAGGUCAAGCCACAGAGGCUCAGUCACCUGUUCUUCUUCUGGGCCAGGUGCCAAAUUGGAUCUAUUUCCAAGCCACAGACCAUGUACUCAUGGUGGACUCUGAACCAGGGAGGACACAUAGACCCAAGGUAAAGCCACAGAGGAUAGGAGGAUCUAUGGCCUUAUUGGAGCAGCUCCCAUUGAGGACUGGGGCCGAGGUUACGGGAGCCUGAAACUAUGGGCUUUACAACCCACUCAUCAGCCGUGACUUCAGUGGAGCCUAGCCCUUCUGAUGACUACACAAGGGAGCAAAGCAUCUAAUGUUCGCAGUACAAAAAGCAGCGGGAGUUCCAGCACUGCUUAAUGAGUUUCGAGGCAGAAAAACCGGC